rnacentral:lncRNA from 1 species
UCAGUAACACCCUGGGGGGCACGGGAGGGACGGCGGGGCGUCGUCGGCGUGAUGCGCGCGCGGGGGUCGGGCGCGCGUGAUUCCUGGCGCGUGCCGCCUAAGGAAGACGAUGCCGGACGUGUGGGCCCAUCUUGUCAGCGGCUCGGGUGCAGGGCGCGCGCGGGUGGGCCGGCUCGGUCGGUGGCACUGGGCCGGUCCAGUUUUCUUUUCUUUUUUGUUCUUUUUUUUUCCUUUUUCUGAUUUCUUUGAUAUCUUUUGAUUUUGAACUCCAAAUUGAUCCAAAUAAAUUCCAGAAAAUUUGUAAAAUCAUAUUAUAAUAUGAUUCAACUUUUGGGUCUAAUUUCCCUUCAAAAUAAAAUAGUUAAAAAUAAUUUUGCCCAAUAAAUGCCUUUAGGCUUUAUAACCAAUUAAAUAAAAUAGUUUUUCAACUCCAAAUAAAUAUCCAAAAUUUAUGGAUAGCUUAUUUAUGGAAUAAACCUCUUUGAUAAAUAAACCCUAUGGGUUUUAAAGUCCAAAGCUCAAAUGGGUGAAGAACCCUAAGGUUUAAAAUGAAAUAAAACCUUUUUA